rnacentral:rRNA from 1 species
UACGGAGGGUGCAAGCGUUGUCCGGAAUCACUGGGCGUAAAGGGCGCGUAGGCGGCGCGGAAAGUCAACGGUGAAAGCUUGGGGCUCAACCCCGAGUCGGCCGUCGAUACUUCCGUGCUCGAGCACUGUAGAGGCAGGUGGAAUUCCGGGUGUAGCGGUGGAAUGCGUAGAGAUCCGGAAGAACACCGGUGGCGAAGGCGGCCUGCUGGGGCCAGUUGCUGGACGCUGAUGCGCGACAGCGUGGGGAG